GAUGAACGCUGGCGGCGUGCCUAAUACAUGCAAGUCGAGCGAACAGACGAGGAGCUUGCUCCUCUGACGUUAGCGGCGGACGGGUGAGUAACACGUGGAUAACCUACCUAUAAGACUGGGAUAACUUCGGGAAACCGGAGCUAAUACCGGAUAAUAUAUUGAACCGCAUGGUUCAAUAGUGAAAGACGGUUUUGCUGUCACUUAUAGAUGGAUCCGCGCCGCAUUAGCUAGUUGGUAAGGUAACGGCUUACCAAGGCAACGAUGCGUAGCCGACCUGAGAGGUUGAUCGGCCACCCUGGAACUGAGACACGUUCCAGACUCCUACGGGAGGCCGCAUUAGGGAAUCUUCCGCGAUGGGCGAAAGCCUGAUGGAGCAACGCCGCGUGAGUGAUGAAGUUCCUCGGAUCGUAAAACUCUGUUAUUAGGGAAGAACAAAUGUGUAAGUAACUAUGCACGUCUUGACGGUACCUUAUCAGAAAGCCACGGCUAUCUAUUUG
rnacentral:rRNA from 1 species